rnacentral:tRNA from 1 species
ACCUGGGGGGCUCAGUCAUUUAAGCAUCUGACUUCAGUUCAGGUCAUGAUCUCAUAGUUCAUGAGUUCAAGUCCCAUUUUGGGUA